GGGAUUCAUAGAUUUUUGAAGAUAAUCUCAAGGACAUUUCAAGAAACUCAAAUCUUGAAACUUUUAGGGAUUGACAAAGAGAUCGUGACUCAUUGGCGUUAUUGGAUCAUUUGUGAUAAGGUUGGAAGCAAUUUAAGGGACUAGACCUGAGCAACUUGGACCGUGUGGAUAGGGCAGCUCUACAUUUCCCGUUAACGUUCUUUGGUGAGACUCCACGCUUGUAUUUGUGGAGGACUUUAUUAUAUUAAAUCCUUUUAAGCCACCGGGUUAUGCCUUGGCUGACUAUUCCAUUUCGUGUUAUUGAGAUUCCAUAGACAACAAUAUAUUCAUUUUGGGUUGUAAUCUUAUGGUUACUUACAU